rnacentral:tRNA from 1 species
GCGGAUAUGGCGAAACUGGCAGACGCGCCAGAUUUAGGUUCUGGUGGGACCCCCCGUGCAGGUUCGAGUCCUGUUAUCCGCA